CCCCUUUGGAUUCAGGAUUGUGAUCAAGGCACAGGAGACACCUGGACUGGAAAACCAAAGGAGACGGCUCAGCAGGAAGAGCUGGGGACUGAGUAUCUCAUCCACAUCACUGUGAUGCUUGCUUCUGGACCAGGACCCACCAUGGCCCGUGGGAUAAGCUCUGCUGCCAGGAGGUUCACAGCAGGACACAAGGACGGGAGCAACCAUCCAUCAAAGCACAUUGUCACCAGCGUGGCAGACAGCAAGCCCCAGGUGUGGAGGGGACAAGCUCUCACAAGCUCACUUUUUUUGGGCCUGGUUCCUGUUUCACAUGGCAGCAGGUUGGCCUCGACCUGGUGCUUGCCCCAACAGAGCAGGACACGGCAGCUUGAAAGGGACUGUUGGGAGAAGAACAGCUGAGAGCCACAACGAUCCCAGCACGUGUAUAAAUAGAGACAGAGCUGUUAUCCUGAUGAAAUGAGACCAGAUGUUUCUCCCAAAUCCCUCCUCUCUGCUAGCGAAAAUUAUAGUUUAGUUACAGCAGGGCAAAGCAGGCAGCAAAAUAUUUUCAACCAACUAAUGCAGGGAAGUCAAAGGGGCAAAAUGCCUCACUAGGGUAGGGGUACCAUGCCCUGUGAUGCUGCAGGGAUGGAUUGAGCAUGGUCAGAGUGGGAACAAGAGGAGUCCCUCACUGCCUUUGUUCUAUUUUUCUGCUUCCUAUCCCAGUAUUAAUGGGCUGAGUUUUAAAACCCAUGCUGCAGCCGCUUUUGUGAGGUAGAAAUUCAGUGUCAGCACAUGUAUCCUGGAGGCAGUUGGCACAAGAUGAAGGAGGGAUGGCAGCAGCAGUUAAAACUGGGCCUUGGCUCUUUAAUAUUUAACUUUCCCCAGUGCUGGGCUUUUUUUUUUUUUAAUCAGUUUGUGCAUUAUCUGCCAUCCCGUUCAAAGAGGGUUUUAGCACAGAGAUUUCAGUGCUUAAUCCCAGGGGCAGGGAAAGUGGAAGAGUCUCUCUGAAGGUUCCAGGGCUCAAUCUGGCCUCAAUUACACCAGCCUAAAUCAGCAAGGAGUGGCCACCACAGACUUUGCAGUGGCCACAUUGGGCUGCAGGUAACAAAACUGGGGGUCAGUCCUGUAUCUCUCCAGGAGAUACCUCUGGUCCCUAAGGCUCCAUCCAUAAGGGAGCUCCCAGGAGGAUCUAAACAUCGUCAGACUGUCUCAGAAUAAACGUGCACCUUGGGCAACAACUAGGGCCUGGCUGUGGCCAGCUGCAGAUGCUUAGGAAGGGAUAUCGGAAGAGGGAGAGUAUAAAGUGAUCCUUCCUCCGGCAUUUCCUCCUGGCUCCUGGUAAUCAGCAGUUGAGGGACUUCCUACGCCGGAGGUUGCAUGAAUUUGUGUAAUCCCUUUUGUUUGUUUUUUUUUUUUUUCUCAUUCAUUUAUACUUUUGGCCUCCAUGACAUCCUGUGGCAAUAAGUUCCACAAUGUAAUUAUGUGUUGUGUGAAAAAGUACUUCCUUUUGUCUGCUUCAGACCUGGCUCAUGAACAUUUCUCUCCAUGUUCUUGUGUUGUGAAGAAAACAGAAAAAAAAAUCCAGGUCCAUACAGACCUCUCUUGACCUCUUCAGACGUCUCUGUCUUUAUUUGCCCCAAGGUUUUGUUCUUCCAAACUGGAGUCUCCUUGUUUUUCUAGUCUUUCCUCCUCAUAUGGUAUCUAUCCCAUCACUUCCACUGUCCUUACUGCCCUCCUCCGUGUCUCUUCUCAUUUUCUUAUUGCCUUUUUUUUUUUUUUUUGAGAUAAGAUCACUGAAGUGAGACUUGCUCAUUUCUGAAGACAUGAAUUCAUUCUCCUGGAAGAAGGUCAGCGCAAAAGCUUUCUUUUCUCAAGCCACACUGGUGUACUUUUAGUUCUUUAACAACAUACAGCAGUCUUGGGCUUAACAAAAAUACACGUGCAGCUCUCUUGGAUUUAAUCUAUUCUGAGCAAACCCCCAGCCCUAAUUAAACUAGAGUCUGUGGGUUAAAACGAUAUUCACAAGUCAAUCAACUAAUAGGGCUGGUUUACACGAAGGGAAUUUCAUGCAUGUGCUUAUAUUACUGCUCAUUUAUGCCUUCACAAAUCCCCUGAGCACUACUGGUGGAGAAGACCCCCAGCCAGAACAGCUGAACUGGUGAGCAUGAAACUUGGGAGUCUCUGAUUUCCAGGACAUCUUUAUUUAUAAAAUAUGUCUAUUUUUGCUCCUGUCAUGCCCACAAAACCAGCCUUCCUAUUUUAGUCAUCCCUGCUCUUUAUCAUUGUUUAUGUUGCCCUGAACCCCACAAAUAAAGGCUGGAGAAUGAA